rnacentral:lncRNA from 1 species
AUAGGAGACAAGUCUUGCAUCUGAGCUUUUGCCAAUAAAUUCUUAGUAUAUUUUGUCUGCGAUAAGAAAAUGCCACCAUUAAAAUACUUCACUUCAAUGCCUAAAAAAUAAUUAAGGCGACCUAGAUCUUUAAGAGAAAAUGUUGAGCUAAGCAUAUGAAUGAUUUGUUGAAUGGUAGAAGAAUUUGAUCCUGUAAUAAUCACAUCAUCAACAUAUACAAGAAUGAUAAUAAGUUCAUGAUUAGUUUUUAAGAUAAAUAGUGAAGAGUCGACCUUACUGCACUGAAAUCCAAGAGUAAAAAGAGAUUGAGAUAGACAAUCAAACCAAGAGCGAGGUGUUUGUUUAAGCCCGUAGAUAGAGUGAUGAAGUUUGCAGACAUGAUACGGCAGAUUCUGAUCGAUGAAACCACGAGGUUGUUCCAUGUAUAUAGUUUCUUUGAGGUGACCAUGAAGAAAAGCAUUUUUUACGUCCAAUUGCUUCAUCUCCCAAUUUGAGCUAACGACAGUAGAAAGAACAAGGCGAAUAGUUGUAGGUUUAAUCACUGGACUAAAUGUUCAUCAAAAUCUAAACCUGGAAUUUGAGUAAAUCCUUUUGCGACUAAGCGGGCUUUGUAACAGUCAACACUCCCAUCUUUUUUAUAUUUUAUGCGAUAAAUCCAUUUUGAUGCAACGACAUUUGUGUUAUUGGGACGAGGAACAAACGUCCAAGUUUGGUUGUAAUGAAGAGCUUGAAGCUCUUCUUUCAUGGCACUGACCCAAAAUUGAUUUUUGAGAGCUGUCUUAAUGGUUUUUGGUUUAGUCUGAGGAGAAUCGGUGGUGACUAACGCUAAUUUAGAAUUCAAUGCAGGAUUUUCUCGAAGUUUUUGAUGAUUUAUCAUCAGAUGAUUAAUUUGAGAGUGAGAAAUAUUGGAUUGUGCAGUAGGAAUAGAUGUGGAGGUUGGCAAUGAGGAUGGAUAAUGAGAAGAAAAAGGAAUAUCAAUAGACACUUGAUUAGAGAUAUUUGGAUGAUUUUUAGUACUAGGAGAACAACUUGUAUUUGUUUGUCUUAAAGAUUCUGGAGUGCUAUCAGAAUUCAGAGAAAAAGAACAACAGUCAGUGCUCAAAGUAUUGGAGUUUGGAAGGCCUGUAGGUUUAGAAUUAUUGUCUUUUUGAGAAGAGUAAGUUUGAUUGAAACCACUCAUAAAAAUUGGGAAAUGUCACCAUUUGGCUUGGUUCCUGCAUGCAUGACGAAGAAGAAAUAUUGUUAGCAAAAGGAAACACUGUUUCAUCAAAAAUAACAUGACAAGAAAUAUAAACUCGAUUUGUUUUAGGAUCCAAACAACGAUAGCCUUUGUGUAUAGGACUUAGCCAAUAAAAAUACAAGAAUAUGUUUUUCGAUCAAAUUUACUUUUAGUGUAAUCCCGUAGGUAGGGAAAACAUUAACAACCAAAGAUCCUUAAUCCACGAUAAUCAGGAGAACGCUUGAACAUCUUUUGAUAUGGGCUUAUCAUGUCAAGAGUUGAGAGAGGCAUCCUGUUGAUCAAAUAGACAGCAGUUAGAAAAGCGUCAACCCAAAACUUUAAAGAAACUGAAGAAUGAAACAUCAUAAUGAGGGUACUUUCGACAACAUGUCCAUGUUUUCUUUCGACCACUCCAUUUUGUUCAGGAGUAUAAGGGCAUGAAAUUUGUCUGGAGAUGCCACAUUGUUCUAUAUGUGUUAAAAGUUUGUAUUAA